AGAGUUUGAUCCUGGCUCAGAUUGAACGCUGGCGGCAGGCCUAACACAUGCAAGUCGAGCGGUAGAGAGAAGCUUGCUUCUCUUGAGAGCGGCGGACGGGUGAGUAAUGCCUAGGAAUCUGCCUGGUAGUGGGGGAUAACGUUCGGAAACGAACGCUAAUACCGCAUACGUCCUACGGGAGAAAGCAGGGGACCUUCGGGCCUUGCGCUAUCAGAUGAGCCUAGGUCGGAUUAGCUAGUUGGUGAGGAAUGGCUCACCAAGGCGACGAUCCGUAACUGGUCUGAGAGGAUGAUCAGUCACACUGGAACUGAGACACGGUCCAGACUCCUACGGGAGGCAGCAGUGGGGAAUAUUGGACAAUGGGCGAAAGCCUGAUCCAGCCAUGCCGCGUGUGUGAAGAAGGUCUUCGGAUUGUAAAGCACUUUAAGUUGGGAGGAAGGGCAUUAACCUAAUACGUUAGUGUUUUGACGUUACCGACAGAAUAAGCACCGGCUAACUCUGUGCCGCAGCCGCGGUAAUACAGAGGGUGCAAGCGUUAAUCGGAAUUACUGGGCGUAAAGCGCGCGUAGGUGGUUUGUUAAGUUGGAUGUGAAAUCCCCGGGCUCAACCUGGGAACUGCAUUCAAAACUGACUGACUAGAGUAUGGUAGAGGGUGGUGGAAUUUCCUGUGUAGCGGUGAAAUGCGUAGAUAUAGGAAGGAACACCAGUGGCGAAGGCGACCACCUGGACUAAUACUGACACUGAGGUGCGAAAGCGUGGGGAGAAACAGGAUUAGAUACCCUGGUAGUCCACGCCGUAAACGAUGUCAACUAGCCGUUGGAAGCCUUGAGCUUUUAGUGGCGCAGCUAACGCAUUAAGUUGACCGCCUGGGGAGUACGGCCGCAAGGUUAAAACUCAAAUGAAUUGACGGGGGCCCGCACAAGCGGUGGAGCAUGUGGUUUAAUUCGAAGCAACGCGAAGAACCUUACCAGGCCUUGACAUCCAAUGAACUUUCUAGAGAUAGAUUGGUGCCUUCGGGAACUUGAGACAGGUGCUGCAUGGCUGUCGUCAGCUCGUGUCGUGAGAUGUUGGGUUAAGUCCCGUAACGAGCGCAACCCUUGUCCUUAGUUACCAGCACAUAAUGGUGGGCACUCUAAGGAGACUGCCGGUGACAAACCGGAGGAAGGUGGGGAUGACGUCAAGUCAUCAUGGCCCUUACGGCCUGGGCUACACACGUGCUACAAUGGUCGGUACAGAGGGUUGCCAAGCCGCGAGGUGGAGCUAAUCCCAUAAAACCGAUGUAGUCCGGAUCGCAGUCUGCAACUCGACUGCGUGAAGUCGGAAUCGCUAGUAAUCGCGAAUCAGAAUGUCGCGGUGAAUACGUUCCCGGGCCUUGUACACACCGCCCGUCACACCAUGGGAGUGGGUUGCACCAGAAGUAGCUAGUCUAACCUUCGGGAGGACGGUAACCACGGUGUGAUUCAUGACUGGGGUGAAGUCGUAACAAGGUAACC
rnacentral:rRNA from 1 species